CACAGCACUGAAGAUGCUAAGACGGACCCUAAAAAGUCCUGCUAGUA
rnacentral:tRNA from 1 species